rnacentral:lncRNA from 10 species
ACAGAGACGAAGAGAAACCAGGACAGGGACAGAGACGGGGAGAGACCAGGGCAGGGACAGAGACAGGGAGAGACCAGGACCGGGGCAAGGGUGACCAGGACAGGGAUCAAACAUGCAACAGAAGAGAGGAGAGAGUCAGAGGAGUGGUGGGAUUUUAGGGGCACUGGGGUAGUGGGGGGUCUUGGGGGAGGGGGGAUACUGAAAUUUGAUGGGGGAAGGGAUGGGGAACCCAGGAUGGAGCAUAGGACUGACCCCCUCCCUUCCCUGAGGCAGGGGGAUGGCAACAGAGGGGGUGUUAUGGGGUGGGGAGGAUUUCCAUACUUAGCUCUUCAACUGGGAGGGUGAUGUCCCCACCCACCCCUCACAGGGAGUGAAGGGGAGGGAGUGGCCAUGGGGAGAGGGGAGGGGCUGGGAGAAAUGGGGGAGGGGCUAGCCC